GGAUGAACGCUAGCGGCAGGCUUAACACAUGCAAGUCGAGGGGCAGCGAGAUUGUUAGCAAUAACGAUUGUCGGCGACCGGCGCAAGGGUGCGUAACGCGUGAGCUACUUGCUCGUUUCAGGGGGAUAACCGGUGGAAACGCCGACUAAUACCCCAUGGUGAUAUUUUAAGGCAUCUUAUGAUAUCUAAAGAAUUUCGGAAACGGAUAGGCUCGCGUGACAUUAGAUAGAUGGCGGGGUAACGGCCCACCAUGUCGACGAUGUCUAGGGGUUCUGAGAGGAAGGUCCCCCACACUGGAACUGAGACACGGUCCAGACUCCUACGGGAGGCAGCAGUGAGGAAUAUUGGUCAAUGGUCGGAAGACUGAACCAGCCAAGUAGCGUGAAGGAUGAAGGUUCUAUGGAUUGUAAACUUCUUUUAUACGGGAAUAAAACACACCACGUGUGGUGUCUUGUAUGUACCGUAUGAAUAAGCAUCGGCUAACUCCGUGCCAGCAGCCGCGGUAAUACGGAGGAUGCGAGCGUUAUCCGGAUUUAUUGGGUUUAAAGGGAGCGUAGACGGGAUGUUAAGUCAGUUGUGAAAGGCUGCGGCUCAACCGCAGCACUGCAGUUGAUACUGGCGUCCUUGAGUGCGGUUGAGGUGUGUGGAAUUCGUGGUGUAGCGGUGAAAUGCUUAGAUAUCACGAAGAACUCCGAUUGCGAAGGCAGCACACUAAGCCGCUACUGACGUUGAGGCUCGAAAGUGUGGGUAUCAAACAGGAUUAGAUACCCUGGUAGUCCACACGGUAAACGAUGAAUACUCGCUGUUGGCGAUAUAUUGUCAGCGGCCAAGCGAAAGCAUUAAGUAUUCCACCUGGGGAGUACGCCGGCAACGGUGAAACUCAAAGGAAUUGACGGGGGCCCGCACAAGCGGAGGAACAUGUGGUUUAAUUCGAUGAUACGCGAGGAACCUUACCCGGGCUUAAAUUGCAGGGGACAGACCGAGAGAUCGGUCCUUCUUCGGACUCCUGUGAAGGUGCUGCAUGGUUGUCGUCAGCUCGUGCCGUGAGGUGUCGGCUUAAGUGCCAUAACGAGCGCAACCCUUGCCAAUAGUUACUAACAGGUUAUGCUGAGGACUCUAUUGGGACUGCCAUCGUAAGAUGUGAGGAAGGUGGGGAUGACGUCAAAUCAGCACGGCCCUUACGUCCGGGGCUACACACGUGUUACAAUGGGAGGUACAGAAGGCCGCUACCCGGCGACGGGAUGCCAAUCCCCAAAACCUCUCUCAGUUCGGAUUGGAGUCUGCAACCCGACUCCAUGAAGCUGGAUUCGAUAGUAAUCGCGCAUCAGCCACGGCGCGGUGAAUAC
rnacentral:rRNA from 1 species